GGCAGCCACGGACUUUCGGUCCUGGUGGCGAAGUGGCGAACGGGUGAGUAAUGUAUCGGAACGUGCCCAGUAGCGGGGGAUAACUACGCGAAAGCGUAGCUAAUACCGCAUACGCCCUACGGGGGAAAGCAGGGGAUCGCAAGACCUUGCACUAUUGGAGCGGCCGAUAUCGGAUUAGCUAGUUGGUGGGGUAACGGCUCACCAAGGCGACGAUCCGUAGCUGGUUUGAGAGGACGACCAGCCACACUGGGACUGAGACACGGCCCAGACUCCUACGGGAGGCAGCAGUGGGGAAUUUUGGACAAUGGGGGAAACCCUGAUCCAGCCAUCCCGCGUGUGCGAUGAAGGCCUUCGGGUUGUAAAGCACUUUUGGCAGGAAAGAAACGUCGCGGGUUAAUACCCCGCGGAACUGACGGUACCUGCAGAAUAAGCACCGGCUAACUACGUGCCAGCAGCCGCGGUAAUACGUAGGGUGCAAGCGUUAAUCGGAAUUACUGGGCGUAAAGCGUGCGCAGGCGGUUCGGAAAGAAAGAUGUGAAAUCCCAGAGCUUAACUUUGGAACUGCAUUUUUAACUACCGGGCUAGAGUGUGUCAGAGGGAGGUGGAAUUCCACGUGUAACACUGAAAAUGCGUAGAUAUGCAGGAGGAACACCGAAUGGCG
rnacentral:rRNA from 1 species